rnacentral:rRNA from 1 species
UGGGUAACCUGCCUUAUAGUGGGGGAGUAGCCUUUCAAGGAAGAUUAAUACGCAUAAGAUUGUAGUAUCGCAUGAUAUAGCAAUUAAGGAGCAAUCCGCUAUAAGAUGGACCCGCGUCGCAUUAGCUAGUUGGUGAGGUAAUGGCUCACCAAGGCGACGAUGCGUAGCCGACCUGAGAGGGUGAUCGGCCACAUUGGGACUGAGACACGGCCCAGACUCCUACGGGAGGCAGCAUG